AGGAAAGGACCUUAGACUAGAAAUGAUGCCUUACUACAAGUGACAGCAUCUGGAAUCUGACACUAUGAAACUGGGGCCUAAAUUGCAAUGGUCAUCCCGCGUGGUAGAGAUACAGGGAAUACAGAACGCAUCCUAAGGAAAGCUGAACCCAGUGGAGCCAGCCCAAAGUGAUGCAGCGCCAUCCGGAUGCCACCUCCAUGAAGCCCGCAGGUCGGACUCACAGCAGAGGGACUGGUGUUUGCCUUGCAGCUUUUCUCUCAUUAAUAUUGCCUUUCCAUUCUCAUGCCCUCCCUACUUGAAAAGGGUAUGUUUGCCACCAGCUAUGGGAAGCACGUGACUCGAGCUUCACUUUCACGGUUGCUCGCGGCUAAGACGUAGCUCUGAGUUUCAGAAGAGACUCUGGAUUUGGAUUUCUGAAUGGCGUUGGGACUGUGACCUCAAGAAGACCUGGAUACCGCGAAAAGACCGUGUUUUACCAGAUUCACUGCACCAUUCGAAAUCUUCUGAGAUCAUAAAUAACUGUCAACAUGAUUUCCAGAGAUCCAAGGAAAAGGCACACUUGGGACGAGGGCUGUGUCCUCUUGUCCCCACCCCCAUGUUCCACCCCACUUUCUUUAGUAACCAGCUUUGAGGACAGCUGG
rnacentral:lncRNA from 1 species